GGCUGUCUGCAUUUUCAGAGUUUGUGCUCUCUUGGCAUGCUAGUUUAUCAUCAUUUAUUUCCUCUGCACCAUUAGACUGAACUUGUAUUUCAAUGAUCUCAGAAACAUCGUUAAUUUUCUCUGCACCAUUAGACUCAUCUUCUAAUCCAUUGAUCUCAGUAACAACGUCGGUAGCCAGUGAACUGUUGCUACCAGCCUUUUCAGCAUCCACACUCUCCUCGAUUUUGCUUAAACCAUUAGAUUCAGGCCUAGUUUCUUCAAUGGCUGUAAUCUCUGUAACAGUGCUAGGUGCCGCUUGGUCAUUGCUCUCUACCUUCUCAGUAUCUGAACUUUCUUCACAUACUAAUUUGACAUCACCAUCAGAAUUACCUCCUUUUUCACUGUUUGUGCUCUCUUGACAUGCUAGUUUAUCAUCACUUAUUUCCUCUGCACCAUUAGACUCUACUUGUAUUCCAGUUAUCUCAGAAACGUUGUUAAUUUUCUCUGCACCAUUAGACUCAUCUUCUAAUCCAUUCAUCUCAGUAACAAUGUCGGUAGUAAGUGAAUUGUUGUUACCAACCUUUUCAGCAUCCACACUCUCAUCGAUUUUGCUUAAACCAUUAGAUUCAGGCCUAAUUUCUUCAAUGGCUGUGAUCUCUGUAACAGUGCUAGGUGUCGCUUGGCUAUUGCACUCUACCUUCUCAGUAUCUGAACUUUCUUCACAUACUAAUUUGACAUCACCAUUAGAAUCAUCUCCUUUUUCGGUGUUUGUACUCUCUUGGGGUGCUACUUUAUCAUCACUUAU
rnacentral:lncRNA from 1 species